AGUGAGGAAUCUUCCACAAUGGACGCAAGUCUGAUGGAGCGACACCGCGUGAAGGAUGAAGGUCUAACGAUUGUAAACUUCUUUUCUGAGGGAGGAUAAUGACAGUACCUCAGGAAUAAGGGGCGGCUAAUUAUGUGCCAGCAGCCGCGGUAAUACAUAAGCCCCGAGCAUUACUCGGAAUUAUUGGGUGUAAAGGGUUCGUAGGCGGAUCUGAAAGUUGGAUAUGAAAGACCGAAGCUCAACUUCGCGUUUGUAUUCAAAACUCCAGAUCUAGAAUUAGGGAGAGGUAAGCGGAAUUCUAAGUGUAGGGGUGCAAUCCGUAGAUACUUAGAAGAACACCAAAAGCGAAGGCAGCUUACUGGAACUAUAUUGACGCUGAGGAACGAAAGCGUGGGUAGCGAAAAGGAUUAGAUACCCUUGUAGUCCACGCCCUAAACGAUGAUAACUAAGUGUUGGGGAUUGCCCCAGUGCUGUAGCUAACGCGUUAAGUUAUCCACCUGAGGAGUACGGGCGCAAGCUUAAAACUCAAAGGAAUAGACGGGGACCCACACAAGCAGUGGAUCACGUGGUUUAAUUCGACAAUAAACGGGGAAUCUUACCCAGACUUGACAUCCUAGGAAAUUACCAGAAAUGGUUUUGUGCCCUCACGGGAACCUAGUGACAGGUGCUGCAUGGUUGUCGUCAGCUCGUGCCUUGAGGUGUUCGGUUAAGUCCGUUAACGAGCGUAACCCAUGUCUUUAGUUAUAUGUCUAAAGAGACUGCCUUGGUUAACAAGGAGGAAGGUGUGGAUGACGUCAAAUCAGCAUGGCUUUUACGUCUGGGGCUACACACAUGAUACAAUGGUACGUACAAAGAGUAGCAAUAUGGCGACAUUGAGCUAAUCUUAAAAGCGUAUCUCAGUCCGGAUUGAAGUCUGAAACUCGACUUCAUGAAGUUGGAAUUGCUAGUAAUCGUGAAUCAGAUAUGUCACGGUGAAUAUGU
rnacentral:rRNA from 1 species